AACAUUAUCAGCACAUUUGAACACUUCUUAUGGGCGAUCCUUAUCCAAUAUUGGCCCAAAAUUAAAUAUAAAGUCCAGGAGACGAUUUUUAGGUAAGAAGUUUUUUGACUUCGUUCUUCUGUCACGUGUCAUUCUAUACGUUCUUCUCCGUCUCCCUCUUCUCUCUCUCUCUCUCUCUCUCGAUCCGUAGACGGCGAUUCGCUGGAAGAAUCAUCGAUCCAUCGAUCAAUCGUUUAAUCUCGGCAUCGAAUCUGCACCAGGUCCGCGGAGUUUGGGUUUAGGGUUUCAUCGUCUCUUCCUUCUCUCGCUGUCGACGGGUACUUCCGCCGCCGUCGUCUAUUCUCGUCCAUCUCGCCUCUCUUCUUUCUCCGGUUGGAGACCAUCUCUGCCGCCGUCACCAACAGGUUUAAUUCGUAAAAAUGGGCCGAUAUAGUUACAGCCAGCCUUCAGAUUCAUCACACUAUAGUAGGGAUGAAGCUGAUAGUGGGUACAACGAGACAGAAGAGCUUAUUGGUCGUGACCAAGCUGAGUUGGAGUUGAAGUAUCCUGAGCCGUCUCAAUAUCCUACGCAGUAUCCUCCACAACCUGAGGUGGAGUUUGGAUUCCCCCAGGUUUGCUAUUGUGGUGAUGCACCAAUUCUAGCUACAUCAAAAAAUGAUCCGGGGAGGAGGGUAUACACCUGCAAGAAUGUGGAUGAUGGCGAUUGCCAUGUCUGGAAGUUUUGGGACGUCGCGGUGAUGGAGGAGAUAAGGGCGAGGGAUAAACACAUUCUGCAGUUGGAGGAAAAGGUAGAUAACCUUACCUUAAUGAGUAACUUUGAGUCUGAGGAAAAGGUGGUUAGGCUAGAGAACUUAGUUUCUGACUUGGCAAAGAAGUCAUUUACUUUAAAAAUUGAGUUUGAAGUUUGUGUUGGUGUCAUGCUCUUUGUAUUAGUGGUACUUGGUCUGGUGAUCGGAGGGAAGUGAUGUUGGUGUUAACAGCAUUACUAGGUCUGGUUUAGGAAGUUUGUGUUGGUGUCAUGCUCUUUGUCUUAGUCGUACUAAUGCUGUUAACCCUUAUGAGACUAUGUACUAAUGUGUUGUAUUGUUAUGAACUUUAUGAUUUACAAAUGUGUUGUAUUGUAAUUGUUUAUGCCUCCACUCCAUGUAUAAGCCAACUGUUCACAUAAAAAUAAUUAAAAUGUGACUUUGAAACAACAACUACUUGUCUCGUGAACCACUUUAAACAACAUAAUAAUUCAAAGGUACAACAUAAUAAUUCAAAGGUGUAAGAGUCACAUGAGUUGUUUUUUUCUUCCACAACAAAACAAUAUACAUUCACAAGUUGUAUCAGGAGAACACAAUAUACAUUCACAAGUUGUAUCACGAGAAGAUCUUAUUUGCCCCUAUAAAUAUGAAAGAUCAUUGGCAAUUUAAAGACAUCCCUCCCCUUUCAUCAACUCUUCAUUUUAAAUGUAAAAAAACUCUAAUGACAUCUUCUUCUCAUUAUCACUACCAUAACGAUGACGAUGAUGAAGAUUAUGUUAAUGAUUACGUUGAAGAUUAUGUUAAUGAUUACGUUCAAAACUUUGAUGAAGAACCAAAAGAGCGGAAGCAACGUAUUUAUAUGGAGAGGCACCGAGAAGACGGCCACCAGAUGCUCUGGAAUGAUUACUUUUGCGAGACUUCAACUUAUAAUGUUCAAUUAUUCCGGCGACGGUUUCGAAUGAACAAAUCAUUGUUCCUGCGUAUUGUGAAUCAUCUCACAACCAACAUACCGUAUUUUCAACUAGGCAAAGAUUGUACCGGACGGUCUAGUCUAACACCCCUACAAAAAUGUACUGCAGCAAUUUGACAGUUGGCAUAUGGCGGUGCAGCUGAUUCACUUGAUGAGUAUGUCCGGCUUGCUGAAACGACAGCUCGGAAAUGUUUGCACAAUUUUACCGCCGGAAUAAUCAGCUUGUUUGGUGAUGAAUACCUCCGCCGUCCAACACAUGAGGACCUGCAAAGACUUCUCUAUAUAGGAGAACAACGUGGAUUUCCGGGGAUGGUUGGCAGCAUCGACUGUAUGCAUUGGGAGUGGAAGAAUUGCCCCACUGCUUGGAAAGGAAUGUAUUCACGAGGAACCGAAAAACCAACAAUUGUUUUGGAGGCGGUAGCUUCAAGUGACCUCUGGAUAUGGCACGCAUUUUUUGGAGCUCCAGGUACUAUGAACGAUCUUAAUAUUCUCGAUCGAUCACCCGUUUUUGAUGACAUUAUUAACGGAAUAGCGCCACAAGUGAACUUCUGUGUUAAUGGUAAUCCAUACCAUUUGGCAUAUUAUCUCACUGAUGGUAUUUAUCCGAAAUGGGCGACUUUUAUUCAAUCUAUCCGACUUCCACAAAGUGAGAAACAUUCGUUAUUUGCUAAAACCCAAGAAGCUGUUCGAAAAGAUGUGGAGCGUGCCUUCGGAGUUCUGCAAGCUAGAUUUGCCGUAGUGAAAAAUCCAUCUAAGUUAUGGGAUAAAGAAAAAAUAGCAAAUAUUAUGAAAGCAUGCAUCAUACUCCAUAAUAUGAUUGUCGAGGAUGAACGUUCAACAUUCACUCAGUAUAACGAGAGAGAAUUUCAAGAAAGCGAAGAAGAGGAUACAUUCACCGUUACUCCGAAUUCAAAUCUCGGCACUGCAAUGGAUCGUCGAUCGAGCGUUCGUAACAGACAAGCCCAUGAACAAUUAAAAUUCGAUUUGAUUGAAAAUAUUUGGGCAAAAUUUGGACAUCUUCCAAAAAACCAAUGAUUUUUAAGUUUUUGUGAAUUGAAUAAAAUGUGUGUUAGCUAUUAUUUUUAAUUUUUUUUUAAAUGGAAUGUAAUAAAAUGUUUGUAAUUUUAAUUUAAUGAAAUAAAAAGUUUUUUUUUUAAUGUAUUGAAUAUAAAUGGAUAUAUCUUAAUUACUAUUUAUAAAUAAAAAUAAUAUUUUUAACCUAAGAACCUUCGAAAAGUUCUAUUGAUAAUGUAGUAUUUUAGUUAAGUAUCUUACAAAACUUCUUAGACUAAAAAUAGUCAUUAAAUAUUCUAAGAUGUUUGCUAAGAGUUGACAUUGAUAAUGUUGCUCUUAGAGCACCAUUAUCAGGGGCUCUUAAAGCCUGUAUUUAAUGUUUUCAGAUUUAAAAAAAAAAAAAUUAGGUAAUUAAAGAGGAGACGUCGCUUAAUUAAGCCACACAAGAGACGGGUUUUGUGAACACGUGUCAUUAUCUCAUCCCUCCCUCUCUCUUUCGUGUCUCCUAGGCGACUCCGAAUCCAUCUGCUGCUCCUCCACGAUGACCUAUCCGCGACGACUCCGCCUCCAUCAACCGGCGACUCCGACGAUGACCUCUCCGCGACGACUCCGACGCCAUCAGCCGACUCAGAGACUCACUUCUCGUCAACCUCACGUUUUCCUCCGCCGCCGCGUCUUCUUCGCACACAGGUUUCAAAACUCUCAUCUGAUUCUUUACCAAAAGUGAUCGUUUCCUUGUGGCCAGAGUAGUUUGGAGAACUCUUUGCAAGCUUGGGGCUCGGUCGCAUAAUCGAUUGUAACACCCCGAUUUUUUGUGGAUUCAGUUUAUUUUUGGAUAUAUGAGGAUCUUGACUUAAAUCUAAAAUCUCAUUUAAAUCCAAUUGAAUAAAAGAUUAAAACGAGGAUAGCAACCCAAAAAAGAGAAAGAAGUUAAAGAGAAAAAGGAGAAGAACGUGAGAUGGAGAAAGGUGAACUAGAGAAGAAGGAAACAAAGGUGGAGAAGAAGAAGUACACAGUUUGAGAUGGAGUUUCGAAAGAGAGAUCCGGAUCAGAUAUGAGUUUGGGAAAUCACAUAUGGAUUUUCUCUUAAUAGAGGACGUGGCAGGGAAGCCAUAGAAACUGACGUCUCUGUCAUUGGAGUAAUGACUUCGUUGUGGUGUGCCUUGCUUCCUACGCAAGCAUCAGAAGUAGCAGCUCAAAUCUGGGAGGUUCAACUGUUCUGUCGCAGCAAUUUCAAGAAAGCGUGGGAGGUUCAUUUGUAUGCUGAUCUGACUGAAACUUUGAAACUUUGUAUAGAUCUAGGGGACACUGCAGACUCAGAAUUCAACGGUGUGAUCGAAAAGUGGACGGUCAGUUUAUUAGUUAUUCAUGUAUUUCUGAACCGGUUUGGUACAUUGUGAAACAGAGUGGUAUGUUGAUGGAUCGUCAUGUUUGGUUGGGAAAAUGAGCUCGGACUGAGCUCAUAUUUGGCAGGAACCUUAUGGACUCGUGGAUAUAUGUUCAACUAUAAGGAGAGAGGGUCUGGAGUUCGGGAACAUGGAAAACGAGCGGUACAACGGAUAUGUCCAAAGUUGAGAAAAUGAAAACUUGUCGUCAAGUGGCUAAGGUGAGGGAUUUAUGGGAGCAUAGUUCAUAUUUUUCUGUUAUACUACAUGAGUUAUAUUAUGUAGGCUUAGAUCUGAUUGUUAUUUAGGAAUUCUAUGAUUAUAUGAUUAUAUGGUGAAGGUUGCAAAGUGUGUUACACUUAAUAAGGUUAACUUUACUUGCUAUCUCCUUGGACUUGUUAUUAGUGAAAUUGUUAUAGGGAACAUUGUUUUGAGAUGGUUAAGCUUUCUCAUUUGCUUGUCUAGUGUAUUGGUCUAUUCCUUGGUUU